CUCAGGAUGAACGCUAGCUACAGGCUUAACACAUGCAAGUCGAGGGGCAGCAUGGUCUUAGCUUGCUAAGGCCGAUGGCGACCGGCGCACGGGUGAGUAACACGUAUCCAACCUGCCGUCUACUCUUGGACAGCCUUCUGAAAGGAAGAUUAAUACAAGAUGGCAUCAUGAGUCCGCAUGUUCACAUGAUUAAAGGUAUUCCGGUAGACGAUGGGGAUGCGUUCCAUUAGAUAGUAGGCGGGGUAACGGCCCACCUAGUCUUCGAUGGAUAGGGGUUCUGAGAGGAAGGUCCCCCACAUUGGAACUGAGACACGGUCCAAACUCCUACGGGAGGCAGCAGUGAGGAAUAUUGGUCAAUGGGCGAGAGCCUGAACCAGCCAAGUAGCGUGAAGGAUGACUGCCCUAUGGGUUGUAAACUUCUUUUAUAAAGGAAUAAAGUCGGGUAUGGAUACCCGUUUGCAUGUACUUUAUGAAUAAGGAUCGGCUAACUCCGUGCCAGCAGCCGCGGUAAUACGGAGGAUCCGAGCGUUAUCCGGAUUUAUUGGGUUUAAAGGGAGCGUAGAUGGAUAUUUAAGUCAGUUGUGAAAGUUUGCGGCUCAACCGUAAAAUUGCAGUUGAUACUGGAUAUCUUGAGUGCAGUGAGGCAGGCGGAAUUCGUGGUGUAGCGGUGAAAUGCUUAGAUAUCACGAAGAACUCCGAUUGCGAAGGCAGCCUGCUAAGCUGCAACUGACAUUGAGGCUCGAAAGUGUGGGUAUCAAACAGGAUUAGAUACCCUGGUAGUCCACACGGUAAACGAUGAAUACUCGCUGUUUGCGAUAUACUGCAAGCGGCCAAGCGAAAGCGUUAAGUAUUCCACCUGGGGAGUACGCCGGCAACGGUGAAACUCAAAGGAAUUGACGGGGGCCCGCACAAGCGGAGGAACAUGUGGUCUAAUUCGAUGAUACGCGAGGAACCUUACCCGGGUUUGAACGCAUUCGGACCGAGGUGGAAACACCUUUUCUAGCAAUAGCCGUUUGCGAGGUGCUGCAUGGUUGUCGUCAGCUCGUGCCGUGAGGUGUCGGCUUAAGUGCCAUAACGAGCGCAACCCUUGCCACUAGUUACUAACAGGUAAAGCUGAGGACUCUGGUGGGACUGCCAGCGUAAGCUGCGAGGAAGGCGGGGAUGACGUCAAAUCAGCACGGCCCUUACAUCCGGGGCGACACACGUGUUACAAUGGCGUGGACAAAGGGAAGCCACUUGGCGACAGGGAGCGAAUCCCCAAACCACGUCUCAGUUCGGAUCGGAGUCUGCAACCCGACUCCGUGAAGCUGGAUUCGCAAAUAAUCGCGCAUCAGCCAUGGCGCGGUGA
rnacentral:rRNA from 1 species